AUUGAUCGGAAACCGUUUUUGCUUUCAAGGUCAAUGUGACCUUGACCUUUGACCCCUUGACCCCAAAAUCAAUAGGGGUCAUCUACUGGUCAUGACCAAUCACCAUACCAAGUGUGAAGUUCCUAGGCCUAAGGGUUCUUUAGUUAUCACUCGGAAACCAUUUGGUCUACGGACCGACGGACCGACAGACCGACGGACCGACAAGUGCAAAGCAAUAUACCCCCUUUUCUUCGAAAUGGGGGCAUAAUUAUCAAUGAUGACAUACUACCAGAUAAACUACAGCACACAUUCAAUAUUGCUAUGUGCAAGAAAAAACAUCAUUAACAACAACAAAAACAACAACACAAAUUACUUUUCUAGUUUGUCUAAGAAUGUGUCGCUAAACUCUAGUUGCAAAUUACUUCUCUCGCGUACUUUUACCUUUCGAUGAUACUCUAAGAUGCAUACUAAAAUGUAUCAGUAUAAAGAUUAAUCUAAGUAAUUAUCAAUAAAUUGUGCGUGAGUUUUCAUAGCAAUGCCUUGAGUAAAUGUGACCAGACCGUCCUGACUGUGUUUUCGAUGUAUUUUGUAAGUUUUAGUCAUUGCCACGCACUUUGAACUUUAUGGUUGGCAUACUGUGUUGUCAUUGGUUGAUAGUUAUUUUCUUUUAUCACGUGCUAAUUCGCGGGGUUUACAGUGCGGCCAACGUUUUUCUGUGUAAUAGUUGAGCUUGUUGUCUUAGGAAACUUUUGAAAGUUUAUCUUAUUUUUUAUUGGUAAUAUAUCUUGACUAAACAGCACACACUGGAGAGAGAAUGUAAUGAAUGUUAUGUUGCAGAAUGUGAUUGGUACCAUUUACUGGUCACUUGUUGUAACUGCAAGUAGUGUCAUCUGUUUAGGUGUCAUCAAUCAUUUGUAAUUAUUUGUGACAGACGAUGUAAAUAAAGAUGAGAACUUGAGAAGAGAA